GGAGUCUGGAAUUCCUGGUGUAGCGGUGAAAUGCGCAGAUAUCAGGAGGAACACCGGUGGCGAAGGCGGGACUCUGGGCUGUAACUGACACUGAGGAGCGAAAGCAUGGGGAGCGAACAGGAUUAGAUACCCUGGUAGUCCAUGCCGUAAACGUUGGGCACUAGGUGUGGGGGACAUUCCACGUUCUCCGCGCCGUAGCUAACGCAUUAAGUGCCCCGCCUGGGGAGUACGGUCGCAAGGCUAAAACUCAAAGGAAUUGACGGGGGCCCGCACAAGCGGCGGAGCAUGCGGAUUAAUUCGAUGCAACGCGAAGAACCUUACCAAGGCUUGACAUACACUGGACCGUUCUGGAAACAGUUCUUCUCUUUGGAGCUGGUGUACAGGUGGUGCAUGGUUGUCGUCAGCUCGUGUCGUGAGAUGUUGGGUUAAGUCCCGCAACGAGCGCAACCCUCGUUCUAUGUUGCCAGCACGUGAUGGUGGGAACUCAUAGGAGACUGCCGGGGUCAACUCGGAGGAAGGUGGGGAUGACGUCAAAUCAUCAUGCCCUUUAUGUCUUGGGCUUCACGCAUGCUACAAUGGCUGGUACAGAGAGAGGCGAACCCGUGAGGGUAAGCGAAUCCCUUAAAGCCAGUCUCAGUUCGGAUCGUAGUCUGCAAUUCGACUACGUGAAGUCGGAGUCGCUAGUAAUCGCAGAUCAGCA
rnacentral:rRNA from 1 species